rnacentral:rRNA from 1 species
CUACAAUGGCCGGUACAAAGGGACGCAAAGCCGCGAGGUGGAGCAAAUCCGAUAAAAGCCGGUCUCAGUUCGGAUUGCAGGCUGCAAUUCGCCUGCAUGAAGUCGGAAUCGCUAGUAAUCGCAGGUCAGCAUACUGCGGUGAAUACGUUCCCGGGCCUU